ensembl:lncRNA
AGCUAAACAAAAAACGGUAUCCAGAUGUCAUAUAUGGUAACCCAGAUAUGAGUCUUUGCUUUUUUCCCACUUCCUUUUGGUGCGCUUGAUUUAGCUUGCCCAGGGGGGACAGGUGGGCAGGGUUUGUUCUGUUGGGACUAUUCCAAUGGUUUCAUUGCACCGGAAAACUAAAUGGGUAAAGCUAAUGGAGUAUAACAAUCUGAGGUACUCUAUUCAGUACUUGCUGAAAGUGUGCAUUCCUUUUUUUUGCCAGGCGGUGCUCCCAUUGAAGACAUAAGGAGUCUUGCAGCUCAGAAUGUGAACAUGGACAUAACUACAUUCAAAGGUCUUGAGAGCACUGUAAUUCCUAGUCUGACCGUGAGCGAGGUGAAAGGACUUCUGGGUGCCAACGUGGAUGAUCUGAAGACAUUUGAGAACGACACGGUUGUUCAUGCGUGGUUAAUCGCGCAGCCUCAAUCUGAUCUGGACUUGCUGCGGCUGGGUCUGACCGGAGGCAAAGAAACUUCCACUGCGGUGGUGCCGACAGCGGUGGUCCCCCUCAACACCACCAACACCUUGCUGGCACACAACACUGUCACAGCCAAGCCACUACCAAUCACCACAACUCAGAAUGGUGUCGGUAAUGGAGGAGCACAUCCCGAGAAAGACCUGGGAGCCCUCUCUCUCUGUCUGGCACUGGUCACCGUCAUCCUGCAGAUGAUGUGAGACGAGAUGAUGAGACCAUAGUGUGACCAGAUGAUGUGAGACGAGAUGAUGAGACCAUAGUGUGGGCCAAGCAUCUUCUAAAAUGAACAGCAACAACCUGUUUUACUUUUAGAAUUGUUGAAUCGUCUUGUACUACUUAUAACCAAGUUUACAAAUAUUUUAUUUAGCCAAUCAUGUUUUAAUAAUUUAUUGUUUUAUGUCAUUCUUGUUAAGCAUCACUUUUGUAUGUAAUCAUCACAAGUAUAUGUCUAUAUAUAUGUGUGUGUUCUUAUUUGAACAUUCCAUAAGAUUGCACAUUUUCAUGUUUAUAUAUUUAAAUGAUCUGUUGUCAAGGAAUGUAAAAUUCAUGAAGUAUGUACACCUGUCCUUGUACUUAACCCACAAAUAUGACCUAUGUAAAGUUAGGGCUCUAUUCAAUCAGUAUCGCUGGCCAACAGAAAUAUGAAGGUAGAUUCUGAUUGAGCUAAACAAUAUGCAGUGUUUACCGCGAAUGCAGUCUCUGCUGACAUGGGAACGUUGCCUUUCAAUUUGAAUCACGCUGUAAUGCCGAACUUCCGUGAUACGGAUUAAAUAGAGCCCAUUAUUCAUAUUUUUUCUUCAAAUUAAUAAAAAUGCAAAUAUACCAUCGGUGCUCAGCUCACAUUACUGGAUAGUAAAGUGUUGAAAACAAAAUACAAUACAUUUCCUGUACAGCACACGUCACUUUUACGCAGUAUGUUCUGCUUGCAGUACUUCAGGUAAGCCACAUGGUGGCAGUGUAGUAUAUUCUGAAUAGUUCUGAAAAGUGAACAGAGGUAGUAUUGAAGAAAAAGAAGAAUGAAGGAAUAGCACCUGUGGUGUAAAGUACUUUAAGUAAAAAAUACUUUAAACUACUACUUAAGUAGUACUUCACUAUUUAUAUUUUUGACAACUUUUGCUUUUACUUUAAUACAUUCCUAAUGGAAAUAUUGUACUUUUUACUCCAUAUAUAUUUUCCCUGACAACCAAAAGUACUGGAUACAUUUUGAAUGCUUAGCAGGACAGGAAAAUAGCCAUAUUCACACACUUAUCAAGAGAUUACGUGGUCAUCACCACUGCCUCUGUUCUGGCAGACUCACUAAACACAAAUGCAUCUUUUGUAAAUAAUGUCUGAGUGUUGGAGUGUGACCCUGGCUAUCUGUAAAUAAUGUCUGAGUGUUGGAGUGUGACCCUGGCUAUCUGUAAAUAAUGUCNNNNNNNNNNNNNNNNNNNNNNNNNAUGAGUGUUGGAGGUGGAC